rnacentral:rRNA from 1 species
GACGAACGCUGGCGGCGUGCUUAACACAUGCAAGUCGAACGGAAAGGCCCUGCUUUUGUGGGGUGCUCGAGUGGCGAACGGGUGAGUAACACGUGAGUAUCCUGCCCUUGACUUUGGGAUAACUUCAGGAAACUGGGGCUAAUACCGGAUAGGAGCUCCUGCUGCAUGGUGGGGGUUGGAAAGUUUCGGCGGUUGGGGAUGGACUCGCGGCUUAUCAGCUUGUUGGUGGGGUAGUGUCUUACCAAGGCUUUGACGGGUAGCCGGACUGAGAGGGUGACCGGCCACAUUGGGACUGAGAUACGGCCCAGACUCCUACCGGUGGCAGCAGUGGGGAAUAUUGCACCAUGGGCGGAAGCCUGAUGCAGCAACGCCGCGUGCGGGAUGACGGCCGUCGGGUUGUAAACCGCUUUCGCCUGUCACGAUGCGGGAGUGACGGAAAUUGGUAAAGAAGCACCGGCUAGCUACGUG